rnacentral:rRNA from 1 species
GAUCAUGGCUCAGGAUGAACGCUAGCGGCAGGCUUAACACAUGUAAGUCGAGGGGCAGCGGGGUGUAGCAAUACACUGCCGGCGACCGGCGCACGGGUGCGUAACGCGUAUGCAACCUACCCAUAACAGGGGCAUAACACUGAGAAAUUGGUACUAAUUCCCCAUAACAUUCGAAGAGGCAUCUCUUUGGGUUGAAAACUCCGGUGGUUAUGGAUGGGCAUGCGUUGUAUUAGCUAGUUGGUGGGG